rnacentral:misc_RNA from 1 species
UCGCAGCGUGACUCUGUCGGGAUGUAAUGCAGGACGAGAUUCUGCAGUUCGGUUUAUUGGGCUCCCCCUGUAAACUUUCUCCCUUGAUUUCUCAACUUCCCUCGAGUAUGUAUACGAGUAUAUAUAUAUACCCGUAUAUACCUAUGUGCGUACGGACCAUUCAUCGCAUCCAGUCUCUGCACGGCCACAGCUCGCACUUCGGCAACAGCUAAACGAUCGCUUACUCGAGGAUUACAAGAUCUUUAAAUCCCUUCGAACCGCCGGGAUUACA